AUGAGUCCCACAUCGACCACUUCCUCUGCCACUUCUUCUUCCUCAGGCUCCAACAGCACCACCAGUUCAUGGCUCGUGCAGGGCCUACUGGCCGGAGCUGCCAUUGCGGCCGCGGCUGGAGCUUACGCAGUGAUUUCUGCGCGCAGAUCCGCGAGAUUUCGGAGUCAGGUGAUUGGAAUCAUCCCGGCUCGUUUCGCUUCCUCCAGAUUCCAAGGCAAACCACUGGUCCCAAUCCUCGGAAAACCCAUGAUUCAGAGAACAUGGGAAAGAGCCAAACUUGCAACCACAUUAAACAAACUUGUUGUGGCCACCGAUGAUGAGAGGAUUGCAGAAAUCUGUCAAGGAUUUGGAGCUGAUGUGAUAAUGACAUCAGAAUCUUGCCAAAAUGGAACUGAACGAUGCAACGAGGCACUUCAAUAUCUUCGGAAGAAAUUUGACAUUGUUGUUAACAUUCAGGGGGAUGAGCCUCUUUUAGAGCCUGAGAUAAUAGAUGGGGUUGUUAAAGCUCUGCAGGCAUCCCCAGAUGCUUUGUUCAGCACUGCAGUUACGUCCUUGAAACCUGAACAUGCAUCUGAUCCAAAUCGUGUGAAAUGUGUGGUGGACGCUCAUGGAUAUGCAAUCUAUUUUUCAAGGGGUCUGAUCCCGUAUAACAAAAACGCAGGUCGGGGAAUGUCAAUCCACAAUACCCAUAUUUGCUUCAUCUUGGUAUCCAGAGCUAUGACGCACAGUUUUUAAAGAUAUAUCCAGAGCUUCCACCUACUCCAUUGCAACUAGAAGAAGAUUUAGAGCAGCUCAAAGUCCUUGAGAAUGGAUAUAAGAUGAAGGUGAUCAAGGUCGACCAUGAUGCUCAUGGUGUCGACACACCAGAAGAUGUGAAAAAGAUAGAAUCUUUGAUGCGGGAACGAAAUCUGUCCUAAUUCUCAACCAAAAGAAGAAGAAGAAGGAAAAAAGAAAGAAAGAAAGAACUAGCUUAUUAUUAGCUCAUCCACAACGAAAACUAGCAGGAUCCAGAAGUUCUUAAUGUGGCAGAUUCAGUAACCCUUCGCUGUAAUAACGUUUAGAAUUCUAUAGACUUAUCCAUUUGUUUCCAAAUUUUGGUGGUGUAUCCCCAAAGCAAGCCCGUUUGUGCUAGCUAGAUCUCUUGCCGUAAGCUAUAUAAUUUAGAGAAAGUAUAUUUGCAAC